UGAUAGAAAUUUAGAUAGAAGAAGAAAAAAGAAGAAAAGAAAAAAG
rnacentral:ribozyme from 14 species